rnacentral:rRNA from 1 species
CUACGGGUCGCUGCAGUGGGGAAUAUUGCACAAUGGGCGCAAGCCUGAUGCAGCCAUGCCGCGUGUAUGAAGAAGGCCUUCGGGUUGUAAAGUACUUUCAGCGGGGAGGAAGGGAGUAAAGUUAAUACCCUUGCUCAUUGACGUUACCCGCAGAAGAAGCACCGGCUAACUCCGUGCUAGCAGCCGCGGUAAUACGGAGGGUGCAAGCGUUAAUCGGAAUUACUGGGCGUAAAGCGCACGCAGGCGGUUUGUUAAGUCAGAUGUGAAAUCCCCGGGCUCAACCUGGGAACUGCAUCUGAUACUGGCAAGCUUGAGUCUCGUAGAGGGGGGUAGAAUUCCAGGUGUAGCGGUGAAAUGCGUAGAGAUCUGGAGGAAUACCGGUGGCGAAGGCGGCCCCCUGGACGAAGACUGACGCUCAGGUGCGAAAGCGUAGGGAGCAAACAGGAUUAGAUACCCUCGUAGUC